UACAGAGGGUGCAAGCGUUAAUCGGAAUUACUGGGCGUAAAGCGCACGCAGGCGGAUUGAUAAGUCAGGGGUGAAAUCCCGGAGCUCAACUUCGGAAUUGCCUUUGAUACUGUCUGUCUUGAGUCCGGGAGAGGUGAGUGGAAUUCCUAGUGUAGAGGUGAAAUUCGUAGAUAUUAGGAAGAACACCAGUGGCGAAGGCGGCUCACUGGCCCGGUACUGACGCUCAUGUGCGAAAGCGUGGGGAGCAAACAGG
rnacentral:rRNA from 1 species